rnacentral:rRNA from 1 species
ACGGGAGGCAGCAGUGGGGAAUAUUGGACAAUGGGGGAAACCCUGAUCCAGCCAUGCCGCGUGUGUGAAGAAGGCCUUAUGGUUGUAAAGCACUUUAAGCGAGGAGGAGGCUACUGAGACUAAUACUCUUGGAUAGUGGACGUUACUCGCAGAAUAAGCACCGGCUAACUCUGUGCCAGCA